rnacentral:rRNA from 1 species
UACAGAGGUCUCAAGCGUUGUUCGGAAUCACUGGGCGUAAAGGGUGCGUAGGCCGCGCGGUAAGUCAGAGGUGAAAUCCCGGAGCUCAACUUCGGAAUUGCCUCCGAUACUGCCGUGCUUGAGGACUGGAGAGGAGAUUGGAAUUCACAGUGGAGCAGUGAAAUGCGUAGAUAUUGUGAGGAACACUAGUGGCGAAGGCGAAUCUCUGGACAGUUCCUGACGCUGAGGCACGAAGGCCAGGGGAGCAAACGGG